rnacentral:lncRNA from 1 species
GGAACUUGAGUCAGCGAGUGGAAUUAUUGGAUUUAAAACUGAAUUAAUUACUUUCUUACACAAUGUACUAUUAUGCUGUGAGUUCACUCCUCAUUCAGCUUUAUGAGGGGUAGAAGUGUAUGUGGGCUGUGAAUGUGAUCAUGUACAUUUAUUGAUAAAGAAUAGGUGAGCUGGAGACUGGUUUGAAUGUGGAUUCAGAAGGCCCAGACCUGACUAGUGGAAGGAUGUGGGUUUUUUUUGUUUUCUUUUUUUCCUCUAAGCAAUUGUUCCAGGUACAGUCCUUGAAUGGACCUCUGGCCACUGCUCAUAUGGUCCCACAGCAGAGAAUAAGCUGUAGAGCCAGACCUGCCUGGAAGAAGAGAAGUUACUCCAUCUGUCAGUAAAUCUUUUCCAAGGAGAAGGAAAUAUCAACAUCAACAAAAUAUCAAGACAAAAUGACAUUGCCUUUUGAAAGCAAAAAGUAAGGACUUGUGUAUUUCCUACCUCCAUCUUCUGUGAUCUGUCUCUCAGUGUCACAGGUAUGUAGGUCUCAGGACAGAAAUAGUAAGGAACUGGAUCAGAUUUGUUCCUAGUGCUGAAUAUCCAUUGCUAAGGCAAGGAAACAUAAAGGAUUUAAACACUUUUGCCCUUAUCUUCUGGUUGCCUAUCUUUUGAUUUUGCUGUUUGCCUAUGUUUUCUGACUGAGAAUAGAGCUCAAAAUGCCAUUUUGGAAGGGACAUGAGUGAUGCUAGUUCACCGGUCAACUUAGUUUUUAAGGUUAUAAAACAUGUAAAACAUUACAUGUAAUAUCUUUAUCUCCACACACAGCAGUGCAACACUUAAACAGGAACCAGAAAUCAUGAUUCUAAAAAUGAUUGUAGUUAAAUUAUUGCUGGUGAAAUUUUUCUUCUCUUCAGUACUAACCAUAGUAAGUUCAUUAGAGUGUUAGAAGAAAACCUUCUUCUGCUGCCUCAUGUUCAGCUCAUCGUCAGCCAGAACUCCAUGUCUGUAUCAGCAGACCAGCUUUCCAGCCUCUCAUCCCCCAGUCUGCAUGGAGAUCCAGGGCUGCACUGUUCCAAAGACAGAAUCCAUCAGUUGCUUGCUAAACUUCAUGUAGAUGGUGAUGCCUUUUAAUUUGAUGAGAUUCAAAGCUUUUCAACCCUUAAGAGAGCCAACAGCUCCUCCCAGUUUAGUGCCAUCUGCAAUGUCGGUAUACUUUCAAAUACCACAUAGAAGUUGUUGGUGAAAAUGUUAAAGAGAUCUGGCCCUAAAAUGGAGACCUGAGAAACCCUAGUAGUUAACUAGCCACCAGCCUGAUGUACCUCAGUUACUGAUGUAACCCCUGAUGUAACCCCCUUUUAGCCUGUAAUUAGUUGGUCACUCAUUGUAUUAUGUAUUUCUUUA